AGAGUUUGAUCCUGGCUCAGAUUGAACGCUGGCGGCAGGCCUAACACAUGCAAGUCGAGCGGAUGAGAGGAGCUUGCUCCUUGAUUUAGCGGCGGACGGGUGAGUAAUGCCUAGGAAUCUGCCUGGUAGUGGGGGAUAACGUUCCGAAAGGAACGCUAAUACCGCAUACGUCCUACGGGAGAAAGCAGGGGACCUUCGGGCCUUGCGCUAUCAGAUGAGCCUAGGUCGGAUUAGCUAGUUGGUGAGGUAAUGGCUCACCAAGGCGACGAUCCGUAACUGGUCUGAGAGGAUGAUCAGUCACACUGGAACUGAGACACGGUCCAGACUCCUACGGGAGGCAGCAGUGGGGAAUAUUGGACAAUGGGCGAAAGCCUGAUCCAGCCAUGCCGCGUGUGUGAAGAAGGUCUUCGGAUUGUAAAGCACUUUAAGUUGGGAGGAAGGGCAUUAACCUAAUACGUUAGUGUUUUGACGUUACCGACAGAAUAAGCACCGGCUAACUUCGUGCCAGCAGCCGCGGUAAUACGAAGGGUGCAAGCGUUAAUCGGAAUUACUGGGCGUAAAGCGCGCGUAGGUGGUUCGUUAAGUUGGAUGUGAAAGCCCCGGGCUCAACCUGGGAACUGCAUCCAAAACUGGCGAGCUAGAGUACGGUAGAGGGUGGUGGAAUUUCCUGUGUAGCGGUGAAAUGCGUAGA
rnacentral:rRNA from 1 species